CCUACGGGUGGCUGCAGUGGGGAAUCUUGGACAAUGGGGGCAACCCUGAUCCAGCAAUGCCGCGUGUGGGAUGAAGGCCUUCGGGUUGUAAACCACUUUUGGCGGGGGCGAAAUAUCGAGUGCUAAUACCAUUCGGUGAUGACGGUACCCGCAGAAUAAGCACCGGCUAACUACGUGCCAGCAGCCGCGGUAAUACGUAGGGUGCAAGCGGUCGUCGGGAUUACUGGGCGGGAAGGGUGCGCCAGAUGUGAAAUUCCCGGGCUCAACCUGGGAACUGCAUUUGUGACUGCCUGACUAGAGUGCGGCAGAGGGGAGUGGAAUUCCGCGUGUAGCAGUGAAAUGCGUAGAUAUGCGGAGGAACACCGAUGGCGAAGGCAACUCCCUGGGCCUGCACUGACGCUCAUGCACGAAAGCGUGGGGAGCAAACAGGAUUAGAUACCCCUGUAGUC
rnacentral:rRNA from 1 species